rnacentral:tRNA from 1 species
UGUGGUGUAGCUCAGUUGGUAGAGCGUCGCAAGCGUAGCGGGUACGCGCUGGUUCAAGUCCAGCUACCACAG